AAAGUACUCCCUCUGUCCGAAAAUACUUGUCAUCAAAAUGGACAAAAAGGGAUGUAUCUAGAACUAAAAUAUAUCUAGAUACAUCCCCUUUUAUUCAUUCUGAUGAUAAGUAUUUCUGGACGGAGGAGUACUAC
rfam:Triticum aestivum genome assembly, contig: Triticum_aestivum_CS42_TGACv1_scaffold_030252_1BL